rnacentral:rRNA from 1 species
CUAGUGGCGGACGGGUGAGUAACGCGUGGGUAACCUGCCUUAUACAGGGGGAUAACAGUCAGAAAUGACUGCUAAUACCGCAUAAGCGCACAGGGCCGCGUGGCCCGGUGUGAAAAACUCCGGUGGUAUAAGAUGGACCCGCGUUGGAUUAGCUGGUUGGUGGGGUAACGGCCCACCAAGGCGACGAUCCAUAGCCGGCCUGAGAGGGUGAACGGCCACAUUGGGACUGAGACACGGCCCAG